rnacentral:lncRNA from 1 species
UUUUAGUAGACACGGGGUUUCACCAUGUUGGCCAGGCUGGUCUCGAACUCCUGACCUCAAGUGAUCUGCCUGUCUUGGCCUCCCAAAGUGCUGGAUGACAGGCGUGAGCUACUGCACCUGGCCCCCAUCUGAUAACAUUUUAAAGCCCCUUGAUACAGCCAGGUUUGAAGAACCUCUGUGACUGUCGGUUAAGUGAGUUAGUAAAUCAUAUCCCCUUUUGUUUUUAGCCAGUUUAUUUUUUCUUUUUGUCUUUUGUAGGCUGAAAACCUUUGACUAAUACACCAGACUGCCAAUCUUGACUAUUGCCAGAUUGAUAAUCAAUAUCCUAUAGUCAGAAAGAAAAGAAGAGGGAAAGAAGGAAAGAAAGAAAGAAAACAAUAAUGCUCUUUUAUGCAGGACUUGUCAGAGCCUUGGAUAUGCUAAAGUGCGUAAUUCUCCAGGCAGAGGAUGGAGUAUUCAUUCAUUCACUCAGCAAGCGUUAACUGGACACAUACUCCAUGCCCAGUGAGGGGUGAUCCUGGAGACACAGAUGGCCGAGACAGUCCUGGGCUUUGCUUUCGGCAAACCACAUUAUAGGGGAUAGGGAGACAGAUGGCCAUAAAAUGUCACCCAGCCAAACACAUCAUUACAAAUUGUGACAUGAGGCAGGGCUGGGAUAUACGAGAAGGCUAGAGGGAGCUCCCGGGAGACUGUUCAUGUCUGGGGCUGGUUGGGGGGCAAUUUGUGGUGAGAACAGAUGUCCCCUGAAACCCCUCAGUCUGUUCCCCACACACCUCAGAGGAACCUGUUAACACCUAAGUCAGGUCACAGACCCUGGGGUAUUGAUUUCUAUUUACCAAACACUUUGUACCUGCCAGGCUCUAUUUUAGGCAGUGAACAAAUCACCACUGCAAUGAACAAAUCAGACAAAAACCCCGACCCCUGUGGAACUCAAAGCUCAGUAGGUGAGACAAAUCAAGAAAGGGACAAAUAAGUAGGAUAUAUUAUGUGUCACAAGAUAGGAAGGGGCCACAGAGAAAAAUAAAAUGCCACCGAGGGAGGGGAGUGCCGGCAUGGAGGGUGGGGUGAGGUUGCACUUUUCAGUCGCUGCAAGGAGAGCGUCCCUGGGAAGGUGGUGCAAGAACAAAGACCUGCAGGAGGUGAGAAAGUGUCAGGAGGUGUGUGAGAUCAGCACGGAGACAGAGGGACUUGCAGAUGCAAAGAUCCCAAGGCUGGUGUGGGGGACUGGGGGGAGUGCUCCAGGAACAGUGGGAGGCCAGAGCAGAGUGAGCCAGGGAGGGGCAGAUCAGGUGGGAGCUAGAAAUAGAGCAACAUCAGGGCUUUGCUGGCACCUGGUGUGAGGUGCAGCCAGG